rnacentral:misc_RNA from 1 species
UAAAAAAAAAAAAAAACACAAAUAAAAGGAAAAUUAAAGUGAAAAAUGGGAGAUAUGAUGAUGGUUGGGAGAUGAAGAAUUUGUGGAAGAGAAAGAUUGCGUGGAUGGGUUAUUGAUCAAUGGUUUUGUGCCACGUUGGAGUUGCAUAGAUAAAGUGGGUUUGCUUCUCUUCUACAGAGAAGUGUGUUUUUGUUAAGGACUUCAGGAUUAGGAUGGGCUGCUCUUUCUCAGGCCCAGCUUCAUGUUUAACACAGAGAAGAAAGAACCUUGAAAAUUUGUUCAGUUCGUGGUACUUCUUCACAUCGAUCAUUGCUCUCUUAAAUUUCAGUUGCUUUCUUAAAAGGAAAAAUCUAGUAUUUGAAAUACUUAUAUAUAUUUUUUUAUAUAUUUUUAAAGAAAAUAACUUUCAAAAGAGAUUUAUUUUCCUAAUUUUGACAACCUUAUUUUCCUAAGAUUAACGAAAAAUCAAUAAAAG